UGCAAAUUUGAGCCGAAUUUUUGCUAUCAAAUGAAAAUACCUUUAUUCAUUUUCUUUCUCUCUUUUCUUUUUUCUGUCUCUUCUUUUUUUUUUUCCUUCGUUAUUUUUUUCUUCCGCCACCUCCUCCUCCACCGCGCUCUCCCCAUCGCCUCCUCCUCCUCCGACGAACCCACCUCCUUCUUCCGCUGCCUCUCCCUCUCCCAGGACGACACCCCUACCUCCUUCCCCAGAUUCGACCCCCACCCCCACGGCGCAAAUCUCAA
rnacentral:lncRNA from 1 species